CUCCGUCCUUCACCCUGACAGCCCUGGCUACAGCUGCUGCCCGUCCUUGUGAACAGAACAGAUCUGCCUGCGCUGGGAGUAGGCACGUGCUAGUGUCAGACGAGAUAGAGCCAGCCCGCUCGCCUGUGCCGGAGGGGUACAGAGCGCUAGGGAAGGUGACGAACACUGCCGGAAGGGGGAGGUCUACAAAACAGGAAAAUGGCUCGCACCAGAAGGAGACCGUGCUGUGCCCUGAUCCUGGGCUUCCAGCUCCAGAACUGUGAGGAGUAAAUGUCUGCUGUUUAAGCCCCCAGGCUGUGGUAUUUGGUCACGAUGGAUGGUGCAAGCUAAGGCUAACCUCAAAGUCCUUCCAGCUUGAAGCUUAAUUCUCUCACUCUAGGGGUCCGGGAGGUGGGAUGGGUAAGGUGACCAGUGAUGGUCUGGAACAUAGUUUCGCACAAGCGUCAGCAGCUUCAAAUCCACAGACCUGGGUUUGAAUCUCAGCUUUGUUGCUGUAACUUCGUGACUCCAACAGUUCCAUCAUGGUGGGUGGGAACGCAGGCUCUGACCCAGAUGGGCUUGAAUCCCUCCUCCUAUACCUAACUGGCUAUGCAGCCUUUGUCAACACUCUUAACCUUUGACUCAGUUUCCUGCUCUGUAAAAUGGGGAUAGUGCUGGUUCUUACUUCAUGGAGAAGGUUGCCGUGUGGAUUUCAUGACUUUCCACCUGCUUUGAACACCAAGAGUGGUAAGCUCUUGGGAAUGCUGGUGAUUUUUCCUUAGCCCCACUUUCCUCUGCUCCAAAAUGAUGUUGAAGAUACUCACCAUGCAAGGUUGCUGCGAAGUCCACGAUUUAGUGUGUGUGACAGCGUCUGGCAUCUCAGAGAUGCCCAAUAAAUUGCUGUCAUCAGUGCUGAUCAGUAGAAAUUCCCUCAUCACCUGCUCAGUGCCUGGAUGACCUUGAAAGAAUGCAUCCUCUAUUUUCCUCUAUUGGGAAAGAGAACACAUUCCCUCUCCCCAGGGGUUGGGAAGUCUUAGGCCCCAAGAGACACUGCUGUGGAACCCUGGGAAGGAUAGCUCAGUGGACUGAACCAGGCUGUUGGCCAUGCCUGCGGCAGGCAGCCUGGGGGCCUGGGGCCAGGCAGGACACCCAGACCAGGAGAGCACGAGCACCCCAGCCCCACCGUGUACUAGCUGCUGACCUCAGGUAGCACUUCCACUGGCCUCAGUUAACUCAUCUGUAUAAUGGACCUGAUAAACACCACCACACUCCCUCACAGGCUAUGGCCAGGCGUGGCUAAGCCUGAGGAUAUAAAGAAGUGCUCAUAAUCCACAGUCAUGUAGGAGGGAGGAUGGCGAGGUUCUCUACUUCCUCACCCCUGUUCUUCACUACCUCACCCCCUCACCCAAAGGCCCUGGUGCCAGAGGUAAAUCCCUGAGCCUCAAGCCUAUUUCUGGCCUCCAUCUUGCGCCCCACCCCAGCCUAGAAUUUCCAGGGAAGAGUUUAAGGCUCCUUAGGAGUCCAGAGUCCAAGGAGCCCCAAAACACGGCAUGGCAGGGCUCUGGGAGGACUGAGGACUCACAUCACCCAACAGCAGGGCAGGUCUCCUGGCCGCCGUUCAAGGUCACACAGCAAGCGGGAUUUUUCUGGGUCAGGAUGAUGAGCUGUCUCUGCCGUCCCUAGGGGUGGAGAUGCUCCUCCUGCCCAGCAUCCCCAAUCCCCCUCCGGCCAGGAGAGCUGCAGGGGAGCGGCCACCGCCUCUCAGGCCCCUCAUACCUCCUCACGACCGCUCAAGCUGAGGUGGGCUUUUUCUUCCUGAGCCUGCUCCAGGAGGCAGGGCCAAGUGUGGCAUUUUUAUUCCCAUUUUUAAUUUUUUUUUAAUGUAUUUGUUUUUGAGAGAGAGACAGAGCAUGAGCGGGAGAGGAGCAGGGAGAGAGAGGGAGACACAGAAUCUGAAGCAGGCUCCAGGCUCCCAGCUGUCAGCACAGAGCCUGUCGCAGGGCUCAAACCCACGAACUGCAAGAGAUCACAACCUGAGCCGAAGUCAGACGCCCAACUGACUGCACCACCCAGGUGCCCCUUAUUCCAUUUUUAGAAGAAAAGCAAUCAUGCAGAAACGUAUACAGGAAUGUUCACAGCAGCAUUUUUUAUAAUAGGCCCAAAGUGGAAACGACCCAAAAGUCCAUCAACAGAUGUAUGGAGAAACACGAUGUAGUAUAGCCAUAGAUUGGAAUAUUACUCAGCCAUGAAAAGGAAUGAAAUGCCAAUACCCGCUCCAACACGGACGAGACUGGAAACCAUUACGCUACGUGGAAGAAGCCAGUCACAAAAGGCCACAUUGCGUGAUUCCAUCCACGUGAAAUGUCCAGAACUGACAGAUCCACAGAGACAGAGAGCACAUUAGUGGUUGCCAGGCCUGGGGGGGAAGGGAUAAAGGGGAGUAAAUUCUUUUUUUUUCUCAUGUUUAUCUAUUUUGAGAGAGAGCGCGUGCGUGUGUGUGUGUGUGUGAGCGAGGGAGGGGCACAGAGAGAGAGAGAGAGAGAGAGAGAGAGAGAGAGAGAAUCCUAAGCAGGUUUCAUCCUGUGAGCCUGGAGCCUGACUCGGGGCUUGAUCUCAUGAACCCAUGGGAUCAUGACCUGAGCUGAAAUCCAAAGUCAGACACUUAACCGACUGAGUCACCCUGGUGCCCCAAGGGGGAGUAAAUUUUAAUGGGUGCCAAGUUUCUUUCUAGGGUGAUGAAAAUGUCUUCAAACCCACUGUGGCAUUGUUGCACAACUCUGAGUAUACUAAAAACCACUGACUUGUCUACCUUAAACAGUUGAAUUAUAUGGUAUGUGAAUUAUAUUGCAAUUAAGCUGUUAUCAAAAAAAGAAAGCAGGCAGCAAAUCUACCCAAGAUGCCACCGCCGGGAAAGCAGGAGGCAUCGGGCCCUACAGCUCACUCCGGGGUGCCUCCCUCCCCCGCGAUGUGGGCACGGAGGGCAGGUGGACAGAAGUUCUGCUUCCUUCUCUCCAGGACGCAGGGCGGGCCUACCCACUGCACAGUUUUCUCAGGGCUGGUAUUGUGCUUGGCGGUGACAGCCGGUGCUGGGAGGUCUUGGGGGGGAGGGGCACAGGCAGCCCACAGUGGUUUCCAGGGAGACACAGCUGAGCUGGGCCCUGCUCCCGCCAGCCAGCCAGGCCUCCUAACCCAAAGCCUCUUUCAGGGAAGCGGGAAAGAUGCAUUGAUUACUCAGGGUUAGGGUUGACAGCAGCCCCCCCUUCCUGGCCCUCCCCAGAAUGGGUUCCCCAUAAUGGACCAGGCAGCAGGAGAGAAGUGGUUGGAAUAAGAGCAAUGACAGGUGCUCCUGCCCUCCAGCCCUGUAGGCCUGGCAGGGACUGCUCCCUGACCCUUGAACCCCAUCCCACCCCAGUUGGCCACAGUUGGCCUUAGAGCAGGAGUUAGGGCUGGGGGGUGGUGACCGGGCAGCCUCCACAGUGCAGAGAGCACUGCUCUGCGGUCUCCCCUCACCUCCUUCCUCUUCUGGAAAACGGGGAGUACAAGAAGGCCUCCUCCAGAGGACACCGUGAGGCUGAGAUGGGAUGGGAUGCGGGAAGAACUGGGUAGGUGCCGGGUAAGAGCUUGCUCCUCCCGGACAGGAGUGCUCAAUUGGGCGUAGGACGAAGGAGGAGUGGGUAGAAGGAGAGACCCAGCCGAGCUGAGCCAAGCCCACCCUCACGCUCCUCUUCCCCGCUUCCCCAGAGAAUUGCCCACCCACCAGGUGCCUGCCUUGUUUCUCCUUUUUCUUAAAUUCCUGCAGCUGCCCGUUAAGGCGGCUGCGAUCACUACUAUGUUUUGCAGAUGAAGAAACUGAGGCUCAGAGAGACUAAGUCACCCACUCAAGGCCACACAGCAAUUAAUGUCUGAGCCAGGACUUGAACCAAGGUAGUCUGGCUCUGGAGCCCUGCAGUGGGAAGUCAGGAAUCCUGGGUUCAGGCCCUGCAUUGCUACUGAGGGGCUGUGCGACCUUGGACAGCCUUCCCCUCUCUGGGCCAGACCAGGGAGAAGGAAAGAAGGGUAUGCCUCCAGUGCAGACCCUCCAG